CCCGAAUGGGGAAACCCAGUGUGAUUCGUCACACUAUCAUUAACUGAAUCCAUAGGUUAAUGAGGCGAACCGGGGGAACUGAAACAUCUAAGUACCCCGAGGAAAAGAAAUCAACCGAGAUUCCCCCAGUAGCGGCGAGCGAACGGGGAGGAGCCCAGAGCCUGAAUCAGCAUGUGUGUUAGUGGAAGCGUCUGGAAAGGCGCGCGAUACAGGGUGACAGCCCCGUACACAAAAGCGCAUGUGCUGUGAGCUCGAUGAGUAGGGCGGGACACGUGGUAUCCUGUCUGAAUAUGGGGGGACCAUCCUCCAAGGCUAAAUACUCCUGACUGACCGAUAGUGAACCAGUACCGUGAGGGAAAGGCGAAAAGAACCCCGGCGAGGGGAGUGAAAAAGAACCUGAAACCGUGUACGUACAAGCAGUGGGAGCCCCACCACUAAGCCAGUGGUGAACUCCACAUACGCAUCCUUUGCUGAGGAUACGGUUAACGGAGCGAAAGCGACGUUCAACCUCAAAAGAAGCAGAGGGGGCUUAGUGGUGGGGUGACUGCGUACCUUUUGUAUAAUGGGUCAGCGACUUAUAUUCUGUAGCAAGGUUAACCGUAUAGGGGAGCCGGAGGGAAACCGAGUCUUAACCGGGCGUUAAGUUGCAGGGUAUAGACCCGAAACCCGGUGAUCUAGCCAUGGGCAGGUUGAAGGUUGGGUAACACUAACUGGAGGACCGAACCGACUAAUGUUGAAAAAUUAGCGGAUGACCUGUGGCUGGGGGUGAAAGGCCAAUCAAACCGGGAGAUAGCUGGUUCUCCCCGAAAGCUAUUUAGGUAGCGCCUCGUGAAUUCAUCUCCGGGGGUAGAGCACUGUUUCGGCUAGGGGGCCAUCCCGGCUUACCAACCCGAUGCAAACUGCGAAUACCGGAGAAUGUUAUCACGGGAGACACACGGCGGGUGCUAACGUCCGUCGUGAAGAGGGAAACAACCCAGACCGCCAGCUAAGGUCCCAAAGUCAUGGUUAAGUGGGAAACGAUGUGGGAAGGCCCAGACAGCCAGGAUGUUGGCUUAGAAGCAGCCAUCAUUUAAAGAAAGCGUAAUAGCUCACUGGUCGAGUCGGCCUGCGCGGAAGAUGUAACGGGGCUAAACCAU
rnacentral:rRNA from 1 species